rnacentral:rRNA from 1 species
AUUGAACGCUGGCGGCAUGCCUUACACAUGCAAGUCGAACGGCAGCACGGGAGCAAUCCUGGUGGCGAGUGGCGAACGGGCGAGUAAAGUAUCGGAACGUGCCCAGUCGUGGGGGAUAACGUAGUGAAAAUUACGCUAAUACCGCAUACGAUCUAUGGAUGAAAGCGGGGGAUCGCAAGACCUCGCGCGAUUGGAGCGGCCGAUAUCAGAUUAGGUAGCUGGUGGGGUAAAGGCCCACCAAGCCAACGAUCUGUAGCUGGUCUGAGAGGACGACCAGCCACACUGGAACUGAGACACGGACCAGACUCCUACGGGAGGCAGCAGUGGGGAAUUUUGGACAAUGGGCGAAAGCCUGAUCCAGCCAUUCCGCGUGCAGGAUGAAGGCCCUCGGGUUGUAAACUGCUUUUGUACAGAACGAAAAGGUUUCUACUAAUACUAGGAGCUCAUGACGGUACUGUAAGAAUAAGCACCGGCUAACCACGUGCCAGCCGCCGCGGUAA